GGGCCCGCACAAGCGGUGGAGUAUGUGGUUUAAUUCGAUGCAACGCGAAGAACCUUACCAGGGUUUGACAUCCUGCGAAUCUCUUGGAAACAGGAGAGUGCCUUCGGGAACGCAGUGACAGGUGGUGCAUGGCUGUCGUCAGCUCGUGUCGUGAGAUGUUGGGUUAAGUCCCGCAACGAGCGCAACCCACGUCUUUAGUUGCCAGCAUUUAGUUGGGCACUCUAGAGAGACUGCCGGUGAUAAACCGGAGGAAGGUGUGGAUGACGUCAAGUCAUCAUGCCCCUUACAUCCUGGGCUACACACGUACUACAAUGGUGAAGACAAUGGGAAGCGACUAUUGUGAAAAGAAGCUGAUCUUACAAACUUCAUCUAAGUUCGGAUUGUAGACUGCAACUCGUCUACAUGCAGGUGGAAUCGCGAGUAAUCGC
rnacentral:rRNA from 1 species